AACGAACGCUGGCGGCAUGCCUAACACAUGCAAGUCGAACGAGACCUUCGGGUCUAGUGGCGCACGGGUGCGUAACGCGUGGGAACCUGCCCUUAGGUUCGGAAUAACUCCCCGAAAGGGGUGCUAAUACCGGAUAAUGUCUUCGGACCAAAGAUUUAUCGCCUUUGGAUGGGCCCGCGUUGGAUUAGCUAGUUGGUGGGGUAAAAGCCUACCAAGGCGACGAUCCAUAGCUGGUCUGAGAGGAUGAUCAGCCACACUGGGACUGAGACACGGCCCAGACUCCUACGGGAGGCAGCAGUGGGGAAUAUUGGACAAUGGGCGAAAGCCUGAUCCAGCAAUGCCGCGUGAGUGAUGAAGGCCUUAGGAUUGUAAAGCUCUUUUACCCGGGAUGAUAAUGACAGUACCGGGAGAAUAAGCUCCGGCUAACUCCGUG
rnacentral:rRNA from 1 species